rnacentral:lncRNA from 1 species
AUAUUUGCUGUUAUCUGCAACUGGACUGAGCUUUAGAAAUGUCUAUUUCCCACACAGGGGAAAAUUCUAACAGAAAUAUGAGUUUAAAAAGUCAAAAUAACAUAUGACACUGCCACAGGCUGGUCCACAAAAGUGGCCCUGAUAAGGCAUUAGGUAUAGCUUUAGAUAAAUUUGUGUGUAUGAGACCAGGAGGUGUGUCCUUGCAUCUCCCCAGCCAGAGACAAUUUCACCACAGAAACCUUUCAGCUUUGGCACACACAGCCACUGUCUUCAUUGGAUGGCCAGGACAACAGUAACCAGGAUCCACAGUAACCAGGUGGAUUUGACAGCAGACAGCAUUUACAGCAAAUUCUGGGGCAAGUGCCAAAGGGUGUGAUGUCUGAGGUUCAUCUGGUAUGCUCCCGUGUUUUUCCAUUUUUUAGCCACAAAUAUCUUUGGAGUUACAGAAAGUUUCCCUCCAAGCGCUGGAGAUGUAUGCUGAGCACUGGCUGCCAAGGCAAACGCUCCACACAGGAAGGCACAGAGCUGCCCAACGUGCCUGGCACCUCAGUGGUGGCUGGCCCAGCACUCUGUGCCUCCACACCCCAUCGCCUGUCCUGGCAAAACCAUCCCGGUCACCUUCCUGAAAGAGGCCAUGAUGGAGCUGUUCCCAUCAUGGCCAUGGCGCACACCAGCCAUCCCUUGGGAAAUGUCCGUGUGAGGCAGCGAGGCAGCAGCACAGCAUGUGGCAAGGACACCUUGACCUUGUUCUUCACUUCCUUUCCUGCCGUGUCACUUCAGGCAAACUGCCAUGGCCUCACACCUCUGCUAAAAACCUCAUAA